rnacentral:lncRNA from 1 species
CCCCCCAAUCCCCCCAGUCCCCCCCAGUCCCUCCCAGGGCGCUGCGCCUCCCCCUCUCGUCCCCGCCCGCGACCCUGGGCGAGUCACGUCUGUGCCUCGGUUGCCCUACGGGUAAAGCGGGAUUAGUAAGCGUACCUACUUCAUCUGCCCUCGUGAGGUUGCGGCGAGGAUGGAGUUAACUUGCCUAAAGGGCUUGAUGAAUCCCUGGCGAGUGGGCCGUGUUCGCUAAAGGUUGCCUUUUCCUAGCUUGUGGUACCGAGGGUACAGCGGUCCGCUGUCCGCCCCGGGUAGAGUGUAGGGGGGGGGAUCAAAGGACCCAGACCAUGGUCUCUAGACCUGCCGCCUACCAUGUGGUCUUGACCUCGCUGAGGCAGCUUUCCUCACCUGCUCCACACGCUUGCAGGAGGGGCGCGGAGCCAGAGGCGCUGAACGCUCUAGAAGGAACAGGCAGGGGCACCGGUGCUGCAAGAAGCCAGUGUGUUUUCACGGCGGACGGACACCAGCACACAUCCACGCCUCCUGCACCGCACUGUGUGGCCCAUCCCCGAUGAUGGCCCAGCUCAAGACUAUGGCUCAAGCCAUUUGUCCGGGGCGUGUUCCAGAAGGAGCAGAGCCCCCGAUGUCAAGCAGGACAGUGGAGCGCUUGCAGACAUUCAGGAAAGACCAGGAACAACCAGGAAUGACCAGACCUUCCAUCCUCUGUGGACACCCUCCCAGGUGGUGAUUCAAGGAAUAAAGGAACUGCAAACAGUGGUAGAGAUUCGAAU